rnacentral:rRNA from 1 species
GACGAACGCUGGCGGCGUGCUUAACACAUGCAAGUCGAGCGACGCUCUUCCUUCGGGGAGAUGACGGAGCGGCGAACGGGUGAGUAACACGUGGGCAACCUGCCCCUAGCUCUGGGACAACACCGGGAAACCGGUGCUAAUACCGGAUACGACAUCGAGCGGCAUCUCUCGAUGUGGAAAGUUUUUUCGGCUAGGGAUGGGCCCGCGGCCUAUCAGCUUGUUGGUGGGGUAAUGGCCCACCAAGGCGACGACGGGUAGCCGGCCUGAGAGGGCGACCGGCCACACUGGGACUGAGACACGGCCCAGACUCCUCCGGGAGGCAGCAGUGGGGAAUAUUGCGCAAUGGGCGAAAGCCUGACGCAGCGACGCCGCGUGAGGGAUGACGGCCUUCGGGUUGUAAACCUCUUUCAGCAGGGACGAAUUCAGACGGUACCUGCAGAAGAAGCACCGGCCAACUACGUG